GAUGAACGCUAGCGGCAGGCCUAACACAUGCAAGUCGAGGGAGGAGCUUUCGGGCUUCGACCGGCGUACGGGUGCGUAACGCGUAUACAAUCUGCCUUUCACAUAGGGAUAGCCCGAAGAAAUUUGGAUUAAUACCUAAUGGUAUAUAGAGGUGGCAUCACCUUUAUAUUAACGCUGAGGCGGUGAAAGAUGAGUAUGCGUUCUAUUAGCUAGUUGGAGAGGUAACGGCUCCCCAAGGCGACGAUAGAUAGGGGUUCUAGAGGGAUAUCCCCCACACUGGUACUGAGAUACGGACCAGACUCCUACGGGAGGCAGCAGUGAGGAAUAUUGGACAAUGGUCGGAAGACUGAUCCAGCCAUGCCGCGUGCAGGAAGACGGCCUUAUGGGUUGUAAACUGCUUUUGCAGGGGAAGAAUAAGGACUACGCGUAGUUUGAUGACGGUACUCGGCGAAUAAGCAUCGGCUAACUCCGUG
rnacentral:rRNA from 1 species